UACGGGGGGAGCAAGCGUUGUUCGGAUUUACUGGGCGUAAAGGGCGCGUAGGCGGCCACCGCAAGUCAGUUGUGAAAUCUCUGGGCUUAACCCAGAAAGGUCAACUGAUACUGCGGGGCUAGAGUGCAGAAGGGGCAACUGGAAUUCUCGGUGUAGCGGUGAAAUGCGUAGAUAUCGAGAGGAACACCUGCGGCGAAGGCGGGAUUGCUGGGCUGAUGACUGACGCUGGAGGCGCGAAAGCUAGGGGAGCGAACGGG
rnacentral:rRNA from 1 species